AAAAAAUUAGUUAAAAUAUAACAUUAGUUUGUCAAACUAAAAUUAAUUUUUAAUAAAAUUAUUUUUUA
rnacentral:tRNA from 1 species